CACUCGACCAAUAGGCGCGUAGAGCGACGCGACGGCAGCGCCACAAGAUGGCCGCCGUCGGCCGGCCUCCGUCGCUUUUGUUGUUUAGGCCUACACUUCAAAAAGUAUUGUAAAAAAAAACAAAAAACUGAAUUAAACUGUGUUUUUAUGAAUAAACAAAAUUGCACUUAGAUCAUUUCUAAUAUUUCUGUUAUAAGUUUUGUUAGAUUUUGUUAGGAAACUGUGUAAACCAGUGUUUUUUUUCUUUUAAUUGGGGCUGUGAAUUGGUGCCACCCCAUUUUUUCAAUCCCCACCCAUCGUUCAAAAUCAUUUUGGUUUUACAUCGCACACUUAACUGUCGACCGUUGAAGCGUAUGGACAUGUUAAAGUUAACGUGGGACCUGAGCAAACUAUCAAAAAACAUUACGGGGUGCAAAUAACAACGAUCAUGGCGUAUGUAAUGAAAAUCUUGCAUCGGCAUUUGGCGUGGUGUGGUGCGGCGCGCGCCGAGUUACCGCGAGGGCGGCAAUCGAUGGCGGGCCGGGACGCGCGCCCCGACGCCUAGACCGGCAGACGCCCGGAGACGCCGACCCUGAUCACACGCUCCUCAGACCGCCGCUCCACCCAUCCGUCAUCCUUCAAUGUUUACUUAUUGGACUCGCCGCGAACAGCUGACCGACCGGCCGAUGGUGUUCCCGGUGGAGCAGUGGGGUUAUCGGGACGGACAUUAUUAUACGCGGUCGGUAUCCUUUUAAGAUAUUACAAGGGUCCCGAUAUGGUGUUAGAUAUUGACAUUCUAAUCGUCAACUUGCACGUGGACUUCCUAAUUCAUUACUAUUAAUAUCAAAGAUGAAACAAAAUUGAAACUUACCCUGUUUUCUGAGUUUCAGGUAACAAGUUGAAGAUAGAAGAGAUGAAAACGCGUCGCCUUCUGUACGUAUACUGAAUGUAUCCUGAGUGCGCGAUUCUUGUCCGGUAUACCUUCAGUAUACGUAACAGAAGAUGACACUUGCCUACGAUGAUGCGGGAAUUUUCUUGAGCUCCUGAAAAGAAAACUCACAUAUUCUUUCGGCGAUUUUCUUCGUGAUUUCGACAUAUUUUUCGUGUUUUUCUUCCUUACAUUCAGUAAUGUUGUUUAAAUCUAAUUUAUGUUCUAGCACAGUCUUUCAUUGUAAGAAGGCAUAAGUUAGGACAUCUUUAAAAGAAUGUGUUGUUACACUUUACCCUAUAAUAUAAUAAUAUAUUAUAAAAUAUACGUCUAUGAUCAUUAAAUACAUAUUUUAUAAUGUUUUUAACAAUAAAUAUUGUGUGGUGAUUUGUUA